GAUGAACGCUGGCGGCGUGCCUAAUACAUGCAAGUCGAGCGAAUGGAUUAAGAGCUUGCUCUUAUGAAGUUAGCGGCGGACGGGUGAGUAACACGUGGGUAACCUGCCCAUAAGACUGGGAUAACUCCGGGAAACCGGGGCUAAUACCGGAUAACAUUUUGAACCGCAUGGUUCGAAAUUGAAAGGCGGCUUCGGCUGUCACUUAAGGAUGGACCCGCGUCGCAUUAGCUAGUUGGUGAGGUAACGGCUCACCAAGGCAACGAUGCGUAGCCGUCCUGAGAGGGUGAUCGGCCACACUGGGACUGAGACACGGCCCAGACUCCUACGGGAGGCAGCAGUAGGGAAUCUUCCGCAAUGGACGAAAGUCUGACGGAGCAACGCCGCGUGAGUGAUGAAGGCUUUCGGGUCGUAAAACUCUGUUGUUAGGGAAGAACAAGUGCUAGUUGAAUAAGCUGGCACCUUGACGGUACCUAACCAGAAAGCCACGGCUAACUACAUGCCAGCCGCCGCGGUAA
rnacentral:rRNA from 1 species